AAUUAAUAAAAACGGCCUAAAGCGUGGUUAAAUUAUAUUAAAAUAAAUAGAAAUAAAAAUUAACUCGACUGUCAUACGUUUAUGUUAAAUGGCGAACCAAAAACGAAAGAUAUUCUAACAAACAAAUUAUUUGAGCCCACGAAAGCUAAGAAACAAACUAGGAUUAGAUACCCUACUAUGCUUAGCCCUAAACUUUGGAACCACCCCGCCUGAGUACUACGAGCCACAGCUUAAAACUCAAAGGACUUGGCGGUGCUCUACACCCCCCUAGAGGAGCCUGUUCUAUAAUUGAUACCCCCCGCUAAACCUCACCACUUAUUGCCAAUACCGCCUAUAUACCGCCGUCGUCAGCUCACCAUUUAAGUGGAGAAUAGUAGGCAUAAUGAUAAACAUAAAAACGUCAGGUCAAGGUGUAGCGAAUUAAGUGGAAAGAAAUGGGCUACAUUUUCUAAAUUAGAAAAAUACGAAGAAUUUUAUGAAAAACUAUUUAAAGGUGGAUUUAGCAGUAAAAAGAAAAUAGAGUGUUCUUUUUAAAUAGGCCAUAGAGCGCGCACACACCGCCCGUCACCCUCCUCGAAAAACCAACCAAUUAUAUAAUAAAAGAAAAUAAAAGAAGAGGUAAGUCGUAACAUGGUAAGUUUACCGGAAGGUGUACUUGGAUUAU
rnacentral:rRNA from 1 species